CCGUACAUCACAACUGGGAAAACCAUAGCUUUAACUAUACAGAUCUUUGUCGGCAAGGUGGUGUCUCUGCUUUUUAAGAUGCUGUCUAGGUUUGUCAUCGCUUUUCUUUUCUUUUUUUUUUAAAGCAUGGCCCCUGCGCAAGGAUGACACGCAAAUUCGUGAAGCGUUCCAUGGAACG